rnacentral:rRNA from 1 species
GAUGAACGCUGGCGGCGUGCCUAAUACAUGCAAGUCGAGCGAACAGACGAGGAGCUUGCUCCUCUGACGUUAGCGGCGGACGGGUGAGUAACACGUGGAUAACCUACCUAUAAGACUGGGAUAACUUCGGGAAACCGGAUCUAAUACCGGAUAGUAUAUUGAACCGCAUGGUUCAAUAGUGAAAGACGGUUUUGCUGUCACUUAUAGAUGGAUCCGCGCCGCAUUAGCUAGUUGGUGAGGUAACGGCUUACCAAGGCAACGAUGCGUAGCCGACCUGAGAGGGUGAUCGGCCACACUGGAACUGAGACACGGUCCAGACUCCUACGGGAGGCAGCAGUAGGGAAUCUUCCGCAAUGGGCGAAAGCUUGACGGAGCAACGCCGCGUGAGUGAUGAAGGUCUUCGGAUCGUAAAACUCUGUUAUUAGGGAAGAACAAAUGUGUAAGUAACUAUGCACGUCUUGACGGUACCUAAUCAGAAAGCAACGGCUAACUACGUG